rnacentral:rRNA from 1 species
UGCAAGUCGAGGGGCAGCAUGAACUUAGCUUGCUAAGUUUGAUGGCGACCGGCGCACGGGUGAGUAACACGUAUCCAACCUGCCGAUGACUCGGGGAUAGCCUUUCGAAAGAAAGAUUAAUACCCGAUGGCAUAGUUCUUCCGCAUGGUAGAACUAUUAAAGAAUUUCGGUCAUCGAUGGGGAUGCGUUCCAUUAGGUUGUUGGCGGGGUAACGGCCCACCAAGCCUUCGAUGGAUAGGGGUUCUGAGAGGAAGGUCCCCCACAUUGGAACUGAGACACGGUCCAAACUCCUACGGGAGGCAGCAGUGAGGAAUAUUGGUCAAUGGACGAGAGUCUGAACCAGCCAAGUAGCGUGAAGGAUGACUGCCCUAUGGGUUGUAAACUUCUUUUAUACGGGAAUAAAGUGAGGCACGUGUGCCUUUUUGUAUGUACCGUAUGAAUAAGGAUCGGCUAACUCCGUGCCAGCAGCCGCGGUAAUACGGAGGAUCCGAGCGUUAUCCGGAUUCAUUGGGUUUAAAGGGAGCGUAGGCGGACGCUUAAGUCAGUUGUGAAAGUUUGCGGCUCAACCGUAAAAUUGCAGUUGAUACUGGGUGUCUUGAGUACAGUAGAGGCAGGCGGAAUUCGUGGUGUAGCGGUGAAAUGCUUAGAUAUCACGAAGAACUCCGAUUGCGAAGGCAGCUUGCUGGACUGUAACUGACGCUGAUGCUCGAAAGUGUGGGUAUCAAACAGGAUUAGAUACCCUGGUAGUCCACACAGUAAACGAUGAAUACUCGCUGUUUGCGAU